UCUUACAAGACUGGACCCAUGCUGGCAGAAGUUAAUGUGUACAGCUCAAUACUGUGAUGUCAAGUCCAGAUCGUGAAAGCAGACUGCCAAGCGAGCAAGGAGGACACCUGCUUCAGUGGCAGGGUGAGGGAGGUCGCGAAAUUCACCAAGAGGUAGAAAGCAGCUGAGAAAGCCUUGGGAGACUGGCUGGGACUCAGAUGACCAGAGAAAGCCUUUCCAGGAAGAAAGGCUGAGGGAGGGAAACUGACAAAUGCUUAAGUGAGUGGAGUCAUGGUUGAUCGAGGGACCGCAGGAGAGUGAAGAGCCGCUGGAGUGACAGAAGACUUUCAAGUGAGAGACCUGAGUUGGAGGCUCGGACUUUGUUGUACAAUAGACCAUUUGGCUGGCCUUUGUCUCCAGUUCCUGGGAAGGACCCUCUAAGUCCUCGGAAUUUCCUGAGCGAUAGGAUGCCUUUGUUAUUCAUGGCUGGGAACUGAAAUUUGUUCUGAAGUCUGACCACCCUCUGUUUUGGGGAAGCAACUCCCGGUGGCAAGGUGAAGUUGGGGCUUGACCUCAGGAACGUGGCCGGUGCUCCUAGGAUGGUGGCCAGCAAUGGGGAGGAGCUGACCCGGGGAGGAACUUCAAGGUUGAUUUCGGGUCUGGGGCUGGCAGUACAGACAUGAGGAGGGACAGUUCUAUGCUUUGAGGGAGCUGUAGCCCUGGCAGUGGGGGAGGACUUCACCUGGGGGGGGCAGUCAGGGGCUGUCACUGCAGAAGCUGGGUGGCCCUCUCACUAGGGUAAUGGACCACAGAUAGCAGACACAUCCAGGCAGCUGCAGAGAACACGCUGGAGUGCCCCAUUUCAGAGCGUGGGCAAUGCUGGCCUGGCAACAGCCAGGAAUCCCAUCCCCAGGUGUGAGGUGUGGGCACAGAGCCACCUUCCUCUCCAGGUGCAGGGUGGGAUGGGG